UACGUAGGGACCAAGCGUUGUUCGGAUUUACUGGGCGUAAAGGGCGCGUAGGCGGCGUGGUAAGUCACUUGUGAAAUCUCUGAGCUUAACUCAGAACGGCCAAGUGAUACUGCUGUGCUAGAGUGCAGAAGGGGCAAUCGGAAUUCUUGGUGUAGCGGUGAAAUGCGUAGAUAUCAAGAGGAACACCUGAGGUGAAGACGGGUUGCUGGGCUGACACUGACGCUGAUGCGCGAAAGCCAGGGGAGCAAAGCGGG
rnacentral:rRNA from 1 species